GGGGUAGUAGUUCAGCGGGAGAAUACCUGCUUUGCAAGCAGGGGGUCAUCGGUUCAAAUCCGAUCUACUCCA
rnacentral:tRNA from 1 species